AGUGAACGCUGGCGGUAGGCCUAACACAUGCAAGUCGAACGGCAGCACAGAGGAGCUUGCUCCUUGGGUGGCGAGUGGCGGACGGGUGAGGAAUACAUCGGAAUCUACUCUGUCGUGGGGGAUAACGUAGGGAAACUUACGCUAAUACCGCAUACGACCUACGGGUGAAAGCGGGGGAUCUUCGGACCUUGCGCGAUUGAAUGAGCCGAUGUCGGAUUAGCUAGUUGGCGGGGUAAAGGCCCACCAAGGCGACGAUCCGUAGCUGGUCUGAGAGGUUGGUCAGCCACACUGGAACUGAGACACGGUCCAGACUCCUACGGGAGGCAGCAGUGGGGCAUAUUGGACAAUGGGCGCAAGCCUGAUCCCGCCAUACCGCGUGGGUGAAGAAGUCCUUCGGGUUGUAAAGCCCUUUUGUUGGGAAAGAAAUCCAUCUGGUUAAUACCCGGGUGGGAUGACGGUACCCAAAGAAUAAGCACCGGCUAACUUCGUGCCAGCCGCCGCAGUAA
rnacentral:rRNA from 1 species